ensembl:lncRNA
CUCCCCUUUGCUUCGCGCAGAGCCGCCCCGCUCUGCAGCCCCGACGCCACCAACCCCACACCGCCCCGCACCCCGUCCCGCUUUGUCUGCCCGCUCCGCAGCUCCUUUUCGGGCCGCAAACACCGCACGGAGACGCAAACCCCAAACAAACAAUCGCGUCCCUUCCAAACACAAAGAGAACUCGGACACUUAAUUACCGGUGUGUUAAUGACAAACCUCAUCUCUCAGCCAUUCAGUCCUUGGCAGCAAAUUCUUGAAAGUCUCUAAUUUUCACUGUUGGCAUCCAUCCAGCCCAGCACAGCUCAGCACAGCCUCUUUUCGGAUCAGCUCUGAGUUUUCUUCAGAGAUCCUCUCCCAAGAGUUUGCCAAUCCAUUCCCACCACGGAGACACGGAGAGGCAGAGCAGGGAGCAGAGCCUGGGCUGGGGUCAGCAGUUCACCUGGGCAUCCAAACACAAAGCUGACCUCAUCCAAAUAGAAGGGAUGGGGAGAGAGCAACGCCACCCAUAUGAGCCCUCAUUUCCAAGAUGGGGAGGAGGAUCCAGGACUUGUGUGGCGCCCAGAUUGCAAGGGUAGUGGGAGGAUGGUUGGACUAGAUGACCUAUAAGGUCCUUCCCGACCCUGAGAUUCUAUGAUUCAGAUCCAUGCAGGGGAACAGGGAUGGAGCAGCACCUGUGUGCCCCGGCCCUGCAAUCAGAGCUGUGCUGUGCCCCAGCUGUGCUCAGCAGCACUGAUUUCAGGCUGCACUGCCUUGUACCCAGAUCUCUCAUAACAACUUUCUUGUUGAAGCUCUUUGUUAAGGUUUUCUCGUGGGUCUCCUGCAGGAGCUGUGGAGGGGUUCGCUGUGUGCUGGGCUGCCCGGUCAGCUCAGGUCUGUGGGUAGAAAACUACAGAGGGGUGUUUGCUCCAGCUGUCUAACCAGGGCUGCUGGCAAAGGCCUGCCUUUUUGCUAUGUGGUUAUGAGCAGAGUUGGGCCCCGGGCACUUGGAACAGUCACAGCAGCCUUUGGGGGUGGUGCCGAGGGAAGUUUGCCUCUCAUCCACUGGGAAAACAGCAGAGAGAGCAGUAAACUAACAAAACAGCAACGAUAAAAAGAGUAGCAAACGAUGUGUGUGUCUGUGAGGCACCCAGAGGUGGACAUCUCCCUCUGCUGGGGAUUGGGUGCAGAGCUGCACUGAUGCUAUGACUGAGCCUGAGAGGUAACCGAGGGUGCUGGAAAGGUAACAGCAGGAGUAGCAUCGUGAUAUUGCCAUUCCAAAACACUCUCAGUCACGGAGUGCAGGCCGGCAGUGAGUGCUGCGGGGGGGUACUGAGCUGAGAGGGGCUAUGGAGCGUGGGGGUGUAACUGAGGGUAUGGAAAGGGAAGGGGGAAGAGAAGAAAAUAGGAAAGGAGAGGAAAAAUAAGGAGAGAAGAGUGGAGAGGAGAAAAGAGAGAGGAGACCCUCCAGGACCCCCCCACCAUUUCCGAGGCAGCCCCGUCCGCGUGCCGCCAUCGCCCCCUCCCGGAGCGGUCCGUGCGUGCAGCAGCGCAGCUCCGGGCCGGGUUCGGUACCAGCCUGGGUUCGGUACCGGCCCGCUUGGAGCCGACGUAGCGCUGUGUUGAGCGUCGGAAAAGUUUGGGUGCGGGCGGCCUCCCGCACGACCCCGCGUUUUGGUGACGGCUUUUUAUCCACCUUUUGCAUCUCCUGACCGCCAUCCCUGAUCAGCUGCCGGCCCACAGCUGGUCAGCCAACAGCACGGCCAGCCUCCCUCCGCAGGUGUGCCAGGCCAGCUGCUUAACAACGUGCUGUUCAAGAUGCUCCUGGGCUUCCCAGAGCCCUUAAAGUCACCGCAUUGUGAUUAAGAGCCCUCCUACUUUGUCACUUUGGGGUUAUGGAUAGGGUUAGGGUUACAGUUAGGGUGAUGGUUAUAGUUAGGGUGAUGGUUAUCUUUAUGGUUAGGGUUUGGGUUACAGUUAGGUUAUGGUUACAAUUAGGGUUCCAGUUAGGGUUGUGGCUACGGUUAUGGUUUGCAUUGCAUUGCAUUGCAGUUCCAAGGGUGGUCAUCCUGACUGAAAUAAAAGCGUGUAUUUGUUCUAUCAAAGGAGGUAAGCACAAAGAUGAGUACAGAUGCUGGGUCUGAAUGACAGCAUCCUGACUCAUCUCCCCCUGUAUCCGGUCAGCCCUCCUCCUCACACAUCCUGUGUCCGGAUGCGGUGGUUGCAGCGAUUGCAGCCCUCCUGCCCUGUGCUUCAAUAUGGGGCAGCCAUGGGGCAGGCAGAGGAGCUGCCCCGGCACUGCACAGGGCUCUCACCUGAUCCCUUCUGCCUCUGCUGCCGCUUCCAGGGUUUAUUUUCAGUCGGGAGAGCCCCGCUGGCAGCCGGCACGGAGCAGUGCUGCAGUGGAUGGGCAGAGGCAGCUGUUGGCUUUGGGGCUGCAGUUCCCCCCCCCACCUUCCCAUGCUUUGUGUCAGCGGUGCAGCCACGCACACAGCGGUACCUUCUGCUGUGCUCUGAGUUCUGGGAGGGCAUUUCAGAGGGGAUUGGAGAAAAAGACAGUGAAUCUAUGCAAAUAUAUAUAUAUAUAUAUAUAUCAUGAAAACGUUGAAUCUGCUUCCUGUUAAUGAUUUCGGAUUUUAAUGAUUUUGCAUCCUGCAGCCUCCACCAGGUGGGGCCUGGGCUGACUCCUCUGUGCUGCCCGGAGGCGGACGGAGCUGCAAAGCCGCGACAUUUCCAAUAGUAAACACAUCCACAGCGCGCUCCUUCAUGUGCCUUCCUGCCUUCUCUUUGUGUUUGGUCUCCGUCUCCCGGGAGCGGAGAAUGCAGCGUGUCUGAUAGACGCCAACCCCGCACAACGGAGCAGAACGCGGCUUCCUCCGGAUCAGAUGGCGCUGCGAUCGCAGGACGUAAGAAGAUUGCGAGUUUAAAUUUAGCAUCGCCAGGAAAGGAGCGGGCCCUCCUCACAACGCGUUUCGUGCCGCGUUAGCCGGGGGGUUCCCACGGCCGGAAAGGCAGAGCCCACCGCGAGGAUGCUGCGCUCACGGGGCUGCGGGGGUCCCAACGAAGCGGCUCCGCACGGCUUUCCCGCAGCGCUCGGACACGCGUGGAGCGGCUCCGCGUCCCCCCCC